AGAGUUUGAUCCUGGCUCAGGAUGAACGCUGGCGGCGUGCUUAACACAUGCAAGUCGAACGGGAAAUAUUUCAUUGAGACUUCGGUGGAUUUGAUCUAUUUCUAGUGGCGGACGGGUGAGUAACGCGUGGGUAACCUGCCUUAUACAGGGGGAUAACAGUCAGAAAUGGCUGCUAAUACCGCAUAAGCGCACAGAGCUGCAUGGCUCAGUGUGAAAAACUCCGGUGGUAUAAGAUGGACCCGCGUUGGAUUAGCUGGUUGGCGGGGUAACGGCCCACCAAGGCGACGAUCCAUAGCCGGCCUGAGAGGGUGAACGGCCACAUUGGGACUGAGACACGGCCCAGACUCCUACGGGAGGCAGCAGUGGGGAAUAUUGCACAAUGGGGGAAACCCUGAUGCAGCGACGCCGCGUGAAGGAAGAAGUAUCUCGGUAUGUAAACUUCUAUCAGCAGGGAAGAUAGUGACGGUACCUGACUAAGAAGCCCCGGCUAACUACGUGCCAGCAGCCGCGGUAAUACGUAGGGGGCAAGCGUUAUCCGGAUUUACUGGGUGUAAAGGGAGCGUAGACGGUGUGGCAAGUCUGAUGUGAAAGGCAUGGGCUCAACCUGUGGACUGCAUUGGAAACUGUCAUACUUGAGUGCCGGAGGGGUAAGCGGAAUUCCUAGUGUAGCGGUGAAAUGCGUAGAUAUUAGGAGGAACACCAGUGGCGAAGGCGGCUUACUGGACGGUAACUGACGUUGAGGCUCGAAAGCGUGGGGAGCAAACAGAAUUAGAUACCCUGGUAGUCCACGCCGUAAACGA
rnacentral:rRNA from 1 species